rnacentral:rRNA from 1 species
UACAGAGGGGGCAAGCGUUGUUCGGAAUUACUGGGCGUAAAGGGCGCGUAGGCGGCCUUCUAAGUCGAACGUGAAAUCCCCGGGCUCAACCCGGGAACUGCGUCCGAUACUGGAAGGCUUGAAUCCGGGAGAGGGAUGCGGAAUUCCAGGUGUAGCGGUGAAAUGCGUAGAUAUCUGGAGGAACACCGGUGGCGAAGGCGGCAUCCUGGACCGGCAUUGACACUGAGGAGCGAAAGCCAGGGGAGCAAACGGG